UGGGGAAUUUUGGACAAUGGGCGAAAGCCUGAUCCAGCAAUGCCGCGUGUGUGAAGAAGGCCUUCGGGUUGUAAAGCACUUUUGUCCGGAAAGAAAUCCUUGGCUCUAAUACAGUCGGGGGAUGACGGUACCGGAAGAAUAAGCACCGGCUAACUACGUGCCAGCAGCCGCGGUAAUACGUAGGGUGCAAGCGUUAAUCGGAAUUACUGGGCGUAAAGCGUGCGCAGGCGGUUUGCUAAGACCGAUGUGAAAUCCCCGGGCUAACCUGGGAACUGCAUUGGUGACUGGCAGGCUAGAGUAUGGCAGAGGGGGGUAGAAUUCCACGUGUAGCAGUGAAAUGCGUAGAGAUGUGGAGGAAUACCGAUGGCGAAGGCAGCCCCCUGGGCCAAUACUGACGCUCAUGCACGAAAGCGUGGGGAGCAAACAGGAUUAGAUACCCUGGUAGUCCACGCCCUAAAACGAUGUCAACUAGUUGUUGGGGACUUCAUUUCCUUAGUAACGUAGCUAACGCGUGAAGUUGACCGCCUGGGGAGUACGGUCGCAAGAUUAAAACUUAAAUGAAUUGACGGGGUCAUAGCUG
rnacentral:rRNA from 1 species